AUUGAACGCUGGCGGCAGGCCUAACACAUGCAAGUCGAGCGAGCGGCGGACGGGUGAGUAAUGUAUGGGGACUGCGCGUUAGCGAGGGUAACUACUGGAACAGGAGGCUAAUACCGCAUACUAUCGGAUAACCCAUAUGGGAUUAGCUAGUAGGUAAGGUAAUGGCUUAACUAGGCGACGAUCCCUAGCUGGUCUGAGAGGAUGAUCAGCCACACUGGGACGGAGACACGGCCCAGACUCCUACGGAGGCAGCAGUGGGGAAUAUUGCACAAUGGGCGCAAGCCUGAUGCAGCCAUGCCGCGUGUAUGAAGAAGGCCCUAGGGUUGUAAAGUACUUUCAGUCGGGAGGCGUUACCGACAGAAGAAGCACCGGCUAACUCCGUGCCAGCAGCCGCGGUAAUAC
rnacentral:rRNA from 1 species